GACUUUUGAUUCUUUUCUGAAGCAGUGAGGAAGGAGGGUGUGGUCUCUGGCCAGGAAGCAAACGAAGAGCGUUGGCCUCAGAGACUAAAUUCAUCACAGCGCUGGACAGCAUUCUUCAUCUGACGCUGCCAUGAGCAACAGGUUGCUCUGCUGUGUUGUCAUUUGUCUUGUCAAAGUAGGUCUCAAGGAUGCUCUGGUCAAUCAGUUCCCAAGACAUAGGAUCUUGGGGACAGGAAAGAAAUUAACCCUACAGUGUUUGCAGGAUAUGAAUCAUGUUUCAAUGUUCUGGUAUCGCCAAGACCCAGGAUUUGGGCUACAGCUGAUCUACUACUCAACUGGUACUGACAACUUUGAAAAAGGAGAUGCCCCUGAGGGGUAUGAUGUCUCUCGAAAUGAGCUGAAAUCUUUUCCCCUGACCCUGGUCUCUGCCAGCACCAACCAGACAUCUGUGUACCUCUGUGCCAGCAGUUAG